UGGGGAAUUUUGGACAAUGGGGGCAACCCUGAUCCAGCAAUGCCGCGUGUGUGAAGAAGGCCUUCGGGUUGUAAAGCACUUUUGUCCGGGAAGAAAUCGCACCUGAUAAUACCGGGUGUGGAUGACGGUACUGGAAGAAUAAGGACCGGCUAACUACCUGCCAGCAGGCGCGGUAAUACGUAGGGUCCAAGCGUUAAUCGGAAUUACUGGGCGUAAAGCGUGCGCAGGCGGUUGUGCAAGACCGAUGUGAAAUCCCCGGGAUUAACCUGGGAAUUGCAUUGGUGACUGCACGGCUAGAGUGUGUCAGAGGGGGGUAGAAUUCCACGUGUAGCAGUGAAAUGCGUAGAGAUGUGGAGGAAUACCGAUGGCGAAGGCAGCCCCCUGGGAUAACACUGACGCUCAUGCACGAAAGCGUGGGGAGCAAACAGG
rnacentral:rRNA from 1 species